UACGUAGGUGGCAAGCGUUGUCCGGAAUCAUUGGGCGUAAAGCGCGUGUAGGCGGCUCGAUAAGUCUGCUGUGAAAGUCCAAGGCUCAACCUUGGGAUGCCGGUGGAUACUGUCGAGCUCGAGUCCGGAAGAGGAGUGUGGAAUUCCUGGUGUAGCGGUGAAAUGCGCAGAUAUCAGGAGGAACACCAAUGGCGAAGGCAGCACUCUGGGACGUGACUGACGCUGAGACGCGAAAGCGUGGGGAGCAAACAGG
rnacentral:rRNA from 1 species